GCUUUUGACAUUCACUCACCAAACCCUUUCAUUCUCAGAAAGAUAAUUUAUUCUGGGGGGUGUUUCAUAGUUUUUCUUAUUUCUUGAGUCUCUGAGGAAAGAGCUACCCUGAAUUAACAUAAAUCAUGACAAUACCUGAUUGGAAUCAGACUGACAAUUUAACGAUUUGAGGAUAAACUCAACAGUGACACCACAGAAAAUCACAGAUUUUUUAAUGCUUUAGCACAAAUGAAAAGAACAGCUAGCAGAGACCCGUGGUGCUAGCUAGCCCUGUGUCUGGAUGUCCUGUGGAGGUUGGGUAAUUUGGGUUACCCUUUCAGUUAUCUCCCCACUGAAGCAAUAUCUUAUUGAUUCAUUAGUGAGUGAUGGACGAUUUUACAGAGCUUCGAGGUGUCUGGAGUAUCAUUUCAGUCAUAAGAUAAUCUAAUUGAUAUAUUCUCGAGUGCUUCUGGUGAAGAAAGCUCCAUGGACAGCAGCACCGCUGAGAAAUGACUGCCCGACAGUCUCGGUUUCCGACAAGCCUGCGUUGCUGUCUCUGGGAAGGAAUGCGGAGGCGGAAGGUAGGAGAGCAGCAAGAUCUUUACUUCGGGCUUUAACAGGGGACCACCAUGUCUUAAAAUAAUUGGACUCCAAAACUUGAGUGCAAAAAAGUAAAGGUUGCAAAGCCAGGAGGUAUCAUGCACAAAAGCACCACCUUGUGACCAGAAUGAGUAACUGCAUGCAUCCCUAAGACUGACCAUCCAAAAGAACAGAAAAGCAGAGCCUGUUAAAACUCCAGAUACAAGGACUGGCUCCCGUGUACUCACUCUUCUAUCAGCCUCAGUGUCACUCGAAAAUGGAAAUAAAGAACAAUUUGUUGGAUAUAUUUGAGUUUUGAAAGACAACAGUCUACCAAUCAAUAGAGGGCCAUAUGUGUUGGUAAG